UGCCAGCCGCCGCGGUAAUACGGAGGGACCAAGCGUUGUUCGGAAUCAUUGGGCGUAAAGCGGGCGCAGGCGGUCUGUCAAGUCGGGUGUGAAAGCCCGGGGCUCAACUCCGGAACUGCAUUCGAAACUGGCAGGCUUGAGUACGGGAGAGGGAAGCGGAAUUCCUGGUGUAGAGGUGAAAUUCGUAGAUAUCAGGAGGAACACCCGUGGCGAAAGCGGCUUCCUGGCCCGAUACUGACGCUCACGUACGAAAGCGUGGGGAGCAAACAGGAUUAGAUA
rnacentral:rRNA from 1 species